ACGGAGGGUGCGAGCGUUAAUCGGAAUUACUGGGCGUAAAGCGUGCGUAGGCGGCUACUUAAGUUGGAUGUGAAAGCCCCGGGCUCAACCUGGGAACUGCAUCCAAAACUGAGUGGCUAGAGUGCGAGAGAGGAGUGUGGAAUUUCCUGUGUAGCGGUGAAAUGCGUAGAUAUAGGAAGGAACACCAGUGGCGAAGGCGACACUCUGGCUUGACACUGACGCUGAGGUACGAAAGCGUGGGGAGCAAACAGG
rnacentral:rRNA from 1 species